rnacentral:tRNA from 1 species
UAGGAAGUAAUAUAGAGGAAGUAUGAGGAGUUUUGAUCUCCUACGUGCAGGUUCGAUUCCUGCUUUCCUAA